rnacentral:rRNA from 1 species
CCUACGGGGGGCAGCAGUGAGGAAUAUUGGUCAAUGGGCGGAAGCCUGAACCAGCCAAGUCGCGUGAGGGAAUAAGGCCCUACGGGUCGUAAACCUCUUUUGCCGGGGAGCAAGGGCGGGGACGUGUCCCGGCCCGGAGAGUACCCGGAGAAAAAGCAUCGGCUAACUCCGUGCCAGCAGCCGCGGUAAUACGGAGGAUGCGAGCGUUAUCCGGAUUUAUUGGGGUUAAAGAGUGCGUAGGCGGGCUUUUAAGUCAGAGGUAAAAAU